rnacentral:piRNA from 1 species
ACUAAACAACUCAUUGCACAUCGCGGG